rnacentral:rRNA from 1 species
GGUAACCUGCCCAUCAGAAGGGGAUAACACUUGGAAACAGGUGCUAAUACCGUAUAACACUAUUUUCCGCAUGGAAGAAAGUUGAAAGGCGCUUUUGCGUCACUGAUGGAUGGACCCGCGGUGCAUUAGCUAGUUGGUGAGGUAACGGCUCACCAAGGCCACGAUGCAUAGCCGACCUGAGAGGGUGAUCGGCCACACUGGGACUGAGACACGGCCCAGACUCCUACGGGAGGCAGCAGUAGGGAAUCUUCGGCAAUGGACGAAAGUCUGACCGAGCAACGCCGCGUGAGUGAAGAAGGUUUUCGGAUCGUAAAACUCUGUUGUUAGAGAAGAACAAGGAUGAGAGUAGAACGUUCAUCCCUUGACGGUAUCUAACCAGAAAGCCACGGCUAACUACGUGCCAGCAGCCGCGGUAAUACGUAGGUGGCAAGCGUUGUCCGGAUUUAUUGGGCGUAAAGCGAGCGCAGGCGGUUUCUUAAGUCUGAUGUGAAAGCCCCCGGCUCAACCGGGGAGGGUCAUUGGAAACUGGGAGACUUGAGUGCAGAAGAGGAGAGUGGGAUUCCAUGUGUAGCGGUGAAAUGCGUAGAUAUAUGGAGGAACACCAGUGGCGAAGGCGGCUCUCUGGUCUGUAACUGACGCUGAGGCUCGAAAGCGUGGGGAGCGAACAGGAUUAGAUACCCUGGUAGUCCACGCCGUAAAC